GGCGCCUUACUGAGCUGCUUGGUGAGUGCAUUCCCUGUCAAUAAAUCCAGCGUGUAGGCAGCACAGGUGGUGCCCUGGGUUAUUUGGUUGCACCCCUUUUUUGAAGUACUGCUACGCUCAAAAGCAGCUAUAAUUUAUUAAAAUGUAAUUUGGAAAAAAUAACAGCUAGGAAAUACAAGAUGGUGGGAGUCAGGGCUUUAAGAAAGGUGCUUUAGCACAAACCCACAGAAAAAAAUGGUGAAAUAAUUUCUGUUUUCUGUUUGCAGAGGACCGGGAUUCGGAAGUUCGUAAGUCUAUUUGUGCACCUUGGAGAAGUGAAUCCUCCAAGGGAAGCAGGAUCCCCUAAAACAAGUUGUGCUGGUGCUCACUUUCACCAAAGAAGUAUGUUCAAUUUAAUUACUAAUUAAAAAAAAUAAUAUAUAUACAUUUGGAGAAAACACUCCGUGAAAUACAUUGGGUGUUAGAGGAAAAUGUCCUGGAGAUCUGAUUCUCUGUCCUAAAUCACUGUAAGAGUUUCUAUUUGUUUUUCACUUGCAAGACUUUUAUCUCGGAAAUUUUUUUUCUUGCCCUUCCAUGGAGUGAUAUGCACAAGUCUCCCCCCACAAAUGCCCUGGAUGCUAAAAGAAAAAGAGAAACACUUGUAGUUGCAUGUGCGGAACCAGUACUUUGGUUUUGUUUUGGUUUGGUUUAGGCUUUGUUUUGCUAAACUGGGUGACUUUCUUCUGCAGAGCUCCUAUGUAGUGAAAAUCUAAUAUUGAAGCGAAACAGUGUUUUAUUUCUAUAUUUGUUAUUCACUUCUAUUCCUUUUUUUGUUUUAUUUUUAGGAAAACAGGAUGCUGUCAUUAGAAAAUUGACGACAAGGCUUGAGGAAUUCAAUGAUCAGGAAGCUGAUGAAUCUUCUGAGGAGCUUGGUAAACCUUUGUUUUCCUUUUAAUUUGAUAAAAAAGGGAUGGAUCAGGUUUUGGGUUAUAAAUCUUGUUACAUGCAUGUUAGGUUGGUGUGGCUGGACUAUUUUCUCUUUAUAAAAAAAUAAAUGGGGUGUGUUUAGUUUGAAAUGAGUUUGCAACUUAGUAAUAAAUGGAAAUAAUACCUGUCAGAAGGAUGCAGCUUAAAGGAUAGAGACGAGUAAAAGUUCUGGGUUUUUUUCUUCUCUUCGCCCCCCCUUUUCUGCCUUUUUUUUUCCUCCUUUCUUUUCCUCUUCCCUUUCUUUCUCUCUUCCCUAACUCCCCUGCUCUGCCCCACCCCCUCCCCGCAGGGGAGAGUGCUCUGGAAAGGGGUAAGCAUUGUUUUCCUUCCUGCCAAGGCAGAAAAACCUUUUGAUUUGAAGAAAUCCCCCUUCAGUGUGCCACUGUGACAAUUUUUUAUUUUUCUCUUUUAAGAUGAACUCAACAAAGAACUUGGUAAGUCACUUCCUUCCUUUGCCAACACCAAAUACCCAACAUUUCAAUUUUUCUGUUGAAUUUUGUUGAGUUUGGUCAGAAGCUUUGUAGUCUGUUGUCACAACAAAUAAAUGAGGCAAACGUCAGCAAAAUUAGUUACUGAAAAUUUAAAAAAGAAACUGAUUUUACUUCAUCAUCAGAAGCAUUUUUUUGCAUUUCUCCAUGUUUUAACUGCAGAAGUGGAGGAAAUUUGGGUCUUCUAAUAAUGAAGGAGAUGGAUAAUAGUAGAAAUGGAGAAAAUAUGUGGGGAAUAAACAGAUCCUAAUGGAAAUCUAUGUUUUUCUCUCUCUUAAGAUGAAGUCGCUGAAGGACUUGAUAUGUGGGGGUUUUGGUUGGGGUUUUUUUUGCUUUUUAACCUUUAACAAAAGCUUUUCUAAAGCUUUCUGAAGGUUUUUUGUUGCCCAGAUACUAACUUUAACACAACAAGAAAAUAGAGGCUUGGAUAGAGGGUAAUGAGUGCCCACAGGCAAUGUAAUUUCAUAUAAUAAACAACUAACAAAAAAAUCCAUUUGGGAAAAGUCCUAUCUCUGAUACA
rnacentral:lncRNA from 1 species